GGAUGUGAGGGCAAUCUGGCUGUGACAUCUGUCACCCCAUUGAUCGCCAGGGUUGAUUUGGCUGAUCUGGAUGGCUAGGCAGGUGUCCCCUUCCUCUAUCACUGCUCCAUGUGUGUCCCUCCUAAAGCUAUGCUCUCAGUCAAUGAGGAUGACCUCCCCCCCAAAUAGAGAGGGAUCAGUCUUCGCUCCAGUGUAUAUGGGUCCAGGGUAUAAGAGUAGUUGCGCUCCCCUGCUAGAACAUCCAAACAAAUUCUCAAGGUCCAUUUGUAGAACAUAGGGCAGUCAAGCUUCCAAGACUCCAGACACAACCAAAUGAGCUGCUGCAUGUGGCCAUCCACUUUUCUUU
ensembl:misc_RNA 7SK 7SK RNA